GGGGGGCGGGACGCCCCAGCCGCCGAAGCAGGGGUGAUCAUGUGACUCGCGGGGGCGGGGCUGCGCCGGCCGCUUCCCAGCCUGGCUGAAAGGGCUCGCGUAGCCGGCCCUGUCGGCCCUUAAAGCGGUCAGUGGGCGGCCAGGCCCCAGCUCCCCUUCCGAGCCGCGCAAAGGGAGCUGCUCCUGGCUCUCGUCCGCCCCCCAGGUUUGCUUUCCUUCCCUUCCCGAAGGUGGGCCCCGAGGUCCACCGCCGCGGAGGCUGCGGCCGCCGGGAAGCCCAGAGCCGAGUGUCCGGAGACUAACCGGAAGUGCGGUCCCAGGCGGAGGGGCGGUGCCGGCGGCUGCCGGGGAGAGGGCAGAAUUGCGUGCUGUGAAUACUUAUGGACCAGAGACCUUUUGAAGCCAGAAGGAACACUGUCUCGAGUCUUUGUUGUUACGAAGGCCGGCUGCCGAGAGAGACCGGACUCGCGGGGCGAGGAAGCCAGGCGCUCUCCCAGCUAGCUCCCAGGUAAGCC
rnacentral:lncRNA from 1 species